GAUGUGCCCAGAUGGGAUUAGCUAGUAGGUGGGGUAAUGGCUCACCUAGGCGACGAUCCCUAGCUGGUCUGAGAGGAUGACCAGCCACACUGGAACUGAGACACGGUCCAGACUCCUACGGGAGGCAGCAGUGGGGAAUAUUGCACAAUGGGCGCAAGCCUGAUGCAGCCAUGCCGCGUGUAUGAAGAAGGCCUUCGGGUUGUAAAGUACUUUCAGCGAGGAGGAAGGCGUUGAGGUUAAUAACCUCAGCGAUUGACGUUACUCGCAGAAGAAGCA
rnacentral:rRNA from 1 species